AGUCCCUGCCAGCCCGGAGGAUGAAUGUUGCCUUUGUGCCCUCAGCUGCCUCCCAAGGCUUCCAAGCAACCACUUCUUCCCAAGGGGGCACCUCUGGGGCUGCUCAUGCUGAAGAUCGCGAUGACCAAACUUCCCGAGGUCCUCACCCUGAAGGAGAAGCGGUCCGCUGGGCACUAGCCAAGCGGGGGCGAUCAGUCGCCCGCCCGCGAGGACAGUCCCUUACAGCCGCUUUUCAGCCAGGAGCGAGGGCCACAGACAGACCAAGAGCAAGCUCACCUUGGCCAGUGCCUCCUCCUGUUUGGGGCUCAGGUCACCGACUCUGCCGCUCAUCGUGGCUCAGCCUUGGGGCGCGGUGCCUGCGGCAGCUGAUGGAGCUCCGACUCGUUUGCCGCCGCCGCAGCCGCUGGAGUAAAGUCCCAGUCUUUGGCCGAGGCCCCGGGGCUGGCGGCCAAGACCCGCCUCUUAAAGGAGCCCGAGGGGCGGGGCGAGACGCGCAGAGGCCCUGGAUUGGAGCCAGAAUGCUUGCUCAUACACCUGAGGAGCUACUUGGGUCUGGAUCCUCAUCCUAACCAAGAGGAAGCUGGAAAGCUCUAGCAAACGACGUCUUCUAAGGAGGACUCUUCCCUGUUGUGACUGUCACCUGGACUGACAGGAAGGACCUGACCGCCAGGGGCAGGAGCCGUUGUGGGCCAGAGCCAUAGCUGUGUGCUCAGUGUCUGGACCUCAGGUGGAUGGACAAAGGAAGGGCCAGUCUGUCCCUUCCUCCUCACACUGUGUGACAGUUGCCUGCUGCCACUCUUCAUCUGGCCUGUGUGACCCUGGAUGACUGACCCAGUGACCCUCUCUGGGCAUCCAGGUGGGUAGAGGGAGCUAUGAUGGCACCCCAGGGACCAUCAACAAUUCUCCUGUGUUGGUUUGGGUUUCAUGUCUGCAAGGUGGAGAGACUUCAGAAUUCUAUGCAUGCCAUCCCUAAUGUUUAAAAUUCCUACCAACUCUAGAACCAGAAUGUCUCUUGUUAUCAAAUGGAAUCUCAGGCCCCUAGGCCUGGGAUUUGAGUGACCUGGGCGUUUCUUCCCUUAAGGCUCUUUCUGUACAAAAUAACCCACCAAACCGGGAGUUCCAAGGUAGCAACCUUUCCCCUGGGGCUAGGAUGCCCCCUGGUGGUAGUGUGCAGCAUGGCUCUCCCGAUUGUUAGAGCGUAUAACCUGCAUGUAGUCUGCACUUCCGGCCAGCACCACAGUCCAUGGCAUGCCUCACCUACCCUGAUGUCAUUUGCUGGGCCUUACCUGCUGGAGGAACUCAUUUCACAGUUAAAUGAAGUUUCACUGUUAGGUGGAGUUUUGGAGAGGGGGGCUCACCUCACUGACUUUACUGUGUUCCUCAUUACUGAUACCAGUCCCCUCAUCUGCCACUGGGGGACAUAUCUAUCUCUUGCCUCAGUCUGGAUCCUCCUAGGGCUUUAAGACUUAAGAAAAGAUAGAAACUGGGGUCCCCUCCGUUUCCAGGCCAGGGUCAGGAAGCCUGGUAUAACCAGAAACAAGCGGGUUGGAAUCAGAGCAUGUGGGGUGAAAAGGCCCAAAUCUUUUCAUCCAAGAUCCAUACAAGCUGGCCAAAGGACAAGUGGCUUGCUUGGAAGCACGUGAUGGGGAAAUAGCUGUCCUGUCCCUUCUGGCUCCCCAUCCUGUCCCAGAAGUCAAGCAAGCUUGAGCUGCAGACCUGUCUCCUUCAAAGGCACUGAAGGUGUUGAGCAUCCCGUCUGUCCAUUGCUGGGAAUGGAUGGUCUGCCUUGCUCCCAGUCCUUGCCUUCAACAAGACCACACCUCUUAAUCCUUCCUAAACAAUUCCACCAAUUGGGAAACAAGCAUUUAAAUAUAUGAACCUAUGGGGCCAUUCUCAUCCAAAGCACCUUGACCCCAUAGGCUCGUGGCCAUAUCAUAAUGCAAAAUUACUCAGUCCAAGUCCAGAAGUUCCCAUAGCCUUUUGGUCUCGAUACUUUAAAGUCAAGAGUUCAAAGUCUCUUCUGAGACUGAAAGCAAUCUCUUAGUUUUACCCCCUAAUUUGUCCUUACAAAUUCACAUAUUUCUAACAUUCAAUGGCAGAAAAUAUCAAACCAUUCUGAACGGCAGGAAAGGGAGCACAGAGAGGAAAUAUUGUACCAAGGGAGACCAAAAUCUAGCAGGGAAAAUUUCAAAUUCUGUGGUUCUGCCCUUCUAGCUUUGCUGCCUGCAACAUCUCCCCACCCAACCUCCUGCCAACCCCAGGCUGGUUCCACUCCCUGUCUAUGGCUCUCCUUGCAGGUACCCACAGCUCAGUCACCUCCUACAUCAUGGGGUCUCCAGUGCAGCCCAGUUUUUACCUUCACAGCAUCAUGGAAUGGCCUCUCAGGGUCUUCAAGGCAGGGACUUCCCUGCCACACAUUGCCUGGCCUCAACAGCUCUCUUUAAGCAUGGAGGAAGAUUCCACAAGCUCUUCACUUUUAUUUCCUUCGUGACACUGAAACCAGACACACAUGGACAGCACUGCCUAGCUUGACUGUGCCCUUGGGAUGGAACCUGCCCCCCCCCCUUCAGUCACACUAGCAUCAGCUUUCAUUUGUGGCUUUUUUUAAGAGCAGAAAAUUCCUAGGCCUUCUCCUCUCACAGUUGUGAAGCUUAACUUGUGGGGUCUUGCCCGGGGACCCCCUCCCUUCAUUCCAUUUCAGACAGGUCUCUCCUUAAUCUCUUUUCCUCUUUCAGCACCAGCCUUGGCUCCAACAUUAAGUUACCCUGGUGCCCUUUCUCUCUUUAAGCUGUGCAUUUUGCCUUGUUUGCUCAUUUUCAUUGUAGAGUGAUCACUACUAACUCACAUGACAGAGUCAAUGUUAGUCUGUCUUGAAAUCUCCUCUGCCAACAAAUUUAGUCCAUUGUUUUUCAAUUUAGCCUCAGGCAAAUUCUUGGAACAAGAGCAGAAAAAUAGCUACAGGCUGCCAAAAUAUCACAAGAAUGGUCUCUAGCCCAGGUGCUAAUAUUGUCCCCUCUGACAUGGGCCACCAUAGUCUCCACUGCUCUCAGUACUACUGCCUCCCAAGCUCCUACUAGGAUUCCCCAUUAAUCCCCAUUUACAGUGUUCAACCAUUUUCCUAGUCCAACGUUUCAAAGACUUCUAUAUUCUUCCCCAGAAUAGCACAGGCAGGCCCUUCAUAGCAAGAGGCUGCUCCCUGCUACCAGCUUCUGUCUUAGUUACUCUUGAUUGCUGUAAUAAGGCACUACCAUGACCAAAGUAACCCAUAAAAGAGUUUGUUUAAGUGAGAUAAGGAUCCAGAGUGUUCCAGUCCAUGAUGCUGGAGCAAAGCAUGACCAUCGUUGGCUAGAGCAGCAGCACAGGUCUCGUCUCGAUGGCAAGUUGGAGGCAGAGAUUUCAGUGGGGCUUGCAUGAGGCUUUGAAAACCUCAAAUCCUGCCCCCAGUGACUCACGUCUUCCACCUCCUAAUCCUUCUCCAACAGUUCCAGCAAGUGGGAACCAAGUGUUCAGACAUGUGAGCCUCUGGGCGCCAUUCUCAUUCCAGCCCUCAGGAUGCCUCCGUUGCUUCUUCACCUUUGUUUUUGAGGCAAGGUCUCUCAUUGAACUGUGAAUUCUGU